AUUUCCAGGCUUUCUUGUAGCCAGGAUGAGCCAUGUGACACAUUCUGCCAUGAAUUGUGAGCGUGGCAUUUAAUUGCUGAUGCAAGACCUUCCAGAACUCUUUUCAUCUUUGCCAUGGCAAUCAACAAUGUUCCGGAGAGUAUAUGCUCUGUAAGCCUUGGUCUUGGAGAGAGGAUGAUGCAGAAGAGAAUCCCAUUCACCUCAUGAUGGAUAUUUAAAGAUCAGGUGGCGAAGCUGGAGUAUCCCUUGUGAGGAAUUCCUACUAAGGAAUCUCUGCCAGUCUCUGCCUGGGCAGCUUGCAAGGCAAAAAUGGUGCCGAUCUCCUUGUACAAGGCAUGCAGGAGUCCUCAGACAUAGAAGCAGAGAAAGCAGAUUUUCAAAAGAUUGGGAUUUUGCUGCAAAG